AGAUAGCCUCAGACUCAGCCUGGAAGAGGACAGAGGAGCCCUUCUGAAGGAGGUGCUGGGGCUGAUGGUGAUGAUCUGAAGCAUGCUCAGGAGAGAGGUGGUGCAGAUCAAGAGGCCCCUCAUUACCUUGUAUAUGUAGAACACAGCCUUACAUCUGAAGUUAUUCUGAAAAUUCUGUGACUCAAACACGUCUAGAGACAAUAACUCUGCUGCCAUGACUAGCAUCACUAUGUAGACAGAAACCAAGUGACAGAUGAUCAGGUCAUGGUUUUUUAGGCUUGUGAUCCUUAAAGAAUGUAAAAAUGUGCCAGAGAAGAAGAAAGAUGUUGGCUGAGAUUCCAAUGCCAGCUUGAAAACAAAAGGCCUUUUGAAAGAUAACAUGUGAAAUGUGUGUUCAUCCUAAUGACAUAGAAGAAACAUUUUGAAGACCUGAAAAAAGUAGAUCUGUGUCAUCAAUGUCCUUUUGUCAGUGUUCAAAAUUAUUACCAUUAUUAUUUUUAUUUUACUCUCAUUUCUUGAUUAACCCCAUCUUAUAUAAAUUCUUGAUAAUGUAUCUCCUAUACUAUUUCCUAAACCAAAUAAAUAUAUACAUAUAUAAUUAUUAUGAAUCUCUAUAUAGUAAAUACAUUUUCAAUUUUGCCUAAGGUGCAUACUAUCUAUAUUCCUUAUGUACCUUGGCCUUCAUCUCAGUAAUCAUAUCCUUAUUCUAUGUUCUCAUUUUAUAUUUAGCACUUCAGUCAGGCAUAUAAAAUGAAUAGUAUUUGUACAGUUGAAUUAAAUGUAUGUUAAUGUGAAAAGACUCAAUAAAAAGUAUAGUCAGUUGA